rnacentral:rRNA from 1 species
UACGGAGGGUGCGAGCGUUAAUCGGAAUUACUGGGCGUAAAGGGUGCGUAGGUUGUUAUUUAAGUUAGCUGUGAAAUUCCUGGGCUCAACCUGGGGACUGCGUUUAAUACAGCCAGACUUGAGUGUGGAAGAGGGUCGUGGAAUUCCCAGUGUAGAGGUGAAAUUCGUAGAUAUUGGGAAGAACACCGGUGGCGAAGGCGGCGACCUGGUCCAUUACUGACGCUGAGGCGCGAAAGCGUGGGGAGCAAACAGG